CCAAGAUGGCGCCGACGUCCCGCCUGCGACGCUGACCUCACCAAGGUGGCUCCGGGGGCGGUUCCCGCCGCCCCUCCCCUCUCGCAUGCGCAGAGCGCUCAGGCCUGGCCGCAGGGAGGGGCGCAGGGGACAGAGCCACUCUGAAGGCUGCCCGGGGGGCGUCUGGGCGCCGGAGGUGGGAGCUGAACUGCUUUGCCCCAGCCCAGCUGCAGAUCUGCACUCAGCCUCAGCCCCAAGCCCUGGCAGGGUGGGAUGCUUUGGUACCAGGCCGUGGAGCUGUUUGAAAUGCAAUUGCUGCUUGCAGCUGGUUCAGAAAUGGAUUUCCUGUGGCUGUGGGGGCAGAAAUGUCUCUGUGGUGAGUUGGUGCCAAGUGCCAGCCUUGCUUAAAGCCUUCUCUUAGGCCUUUCA